rnacentral:rRNA from 1 species
UACGGGAGGCAGCAGUGGGGAAUAUUGCACAAUGGGCGCAAGCCUGAUGCAGCCAUGCCGCGUGUAUGAAGAAGGCCUUCGGGUUGUAAAGUACUUUCAGUCGUGAGGAAGGUGUUAAGGUUAAUAACCUUAGCAAUUGACGUUAGCGACAGAAGAAGCACCGGCUAACUCCGUGCCAGCAGCCGCGGUAAUACGGAGGGUGCGAGCGUUAAUCGGAAUUACUGGGCGUAAAGGGCACGCAGGCGGUUAAUUAAGUUGGAUGUGAAAUCCCCGGGCUUAACCUGGGAAUGGCAUUCAAGACUGGUUAGCUAGAGUCUUGUAGAGGGGGUUAGAAUUCCAUGUGUAGCGGUGAAAUGCGUAGGGAUGUGGAGGAAUACCGGUGGCGAAGGCGGCCCCUGGACAAAGACUGACGCUCAUGUGCGAAAGCGUGGGGAGCAAACAGGGAUUAGAUACC